GAUCUGCGGGCGCUCACCACGAUAACAGCUCUAUUAUUAUCCAUCGUUCAAUCAGUUUUCUCAAAUUACUGCUACUCGUGUAUGAGUAUAAGAACGCACAGCAACUCUACAGCCUAUAAAGUACCAAACAAUAUUGAUGAUAGCUGUGAAGAUGAAACUAAUUUAACAGACGUCAUUGAAUGCAACGGAGGGUGUAUGGUUAUGAAUGCAACCUUUAUGUACUCCUAUGACUUGUAUGGUGAUGUGAUGACACAAUUCUUCGUUCGAUCCUGCGGUUACGAUCUCGACCGAUGUCUCGACGAUCAGGAGAUCGACCCGUUACUCAGAGAAUACGAAAAGGACAUCAGCGCCGGCGUCGAAAAUGGGACAUUUGUCGGCUUCACAGGCUAUGUCUGUUUCUGCAAAGGAACAAACUGCAAUAACGGGAAUUCACUUAGCCAAAACCCAGUCCCUCUCGUUGCGUUUAGUGUUUUAGUUUUAAUUUGUCAAUUUCUUGUAUUUCUAACUUGAAUGGUGAUAUUGACGUCAAUGGGUGCUCAAACAUUGUAUUGAACGCUGAUUAAUGUCGAGUCUUAGGCGCGUAUUCUUAAGUCAGGUUUAAUUGAAAGUCUGGUCUAAAUUAGUGGGUCAACUAUGGAAAGCCAAUUGUAAUAGAGGUUUCUAGGAAGUGAAGUUGACAAU